UCUGGGCAGUCACCAGACAACCCCCCUGAAAACUCUCCUCUCCAAACACACGGACAAUGAGGCUUUGGUUGUCUCUCGUUCUCAUUGCAGCAGCGUGUGAAGGUGUCCGGUCGCAGGUUCAGCUGGUGGAGUUCGGAGGGGAUGUGAAAAAGCCCGGAGACUCUCUCCGCCUCUCCUGCAAAGCCUCCGGCUUCACCCUCAGCAGCUACUAUGUGAGCUGGGUCCGCCGGGCUCCCGGGAAGGGGCUGGAGUGGAUCGCCGGGAUUUACAGCACUAGCACAGACUACAGUGACUCGGUAAAAGGGUGAUUCGCCGUCUCCAGAGAUGACCCCAACAGCCUGUUGUAAGUGCAAAUGACCGGCCUGAAGCCCGAGGACACCGCCCGGUAUCACUGUGCGAGAGACACAGUGAGGGAAUCCCCAUGCUGCUAACACAAAAACUCCAGCUGCAGAAUUGUGCUUUUCUUGUGCGCCGCGUGGGGGCAGCACGUCCACAAACAAUCCGGCACGAGGCACAGGAACGGGAUCGACAGAGAGAGUGAAGAAAUAUCUGUCAGCAGGUGCCCGACCUGUAUACCCAGCUAUGAUCAUGUGUCCAUCAAAACGGGGGCGUCUUGAAUAGUCACAUGUCUGAAUGUGGAACGU